CGGGAAGUAGCUCAGCUUGGUAGAGCACCUGCUUUGGGAGCAGGGGGUCGCAGGUUCGAAUCCUGUCUUCCCGA
rnacentral:tRNA from 1 species